CCUACGGUCGGCUGCAGUGAGGAAUAUUGGUCAAUGGACGAGAGUCUGAACCAGCCAAGCAGCGUGAAGGAUGACUGCCCUAUGGGUUGUAAACUUCUUUUAUAUGGGAAUAAAAUGUUCCACGUGUGGGAUUUUGUAUGUACCCUAUGAAUAAGGAUCGGCUAACUCCGUGCCAGCAGCCGCGGUAAUACGGAGGAUCCGAGCGUUAUCCGGAUUUAUUGGGUUUAAAGGGUGCGUAGGUGGAUUGUUAAGUCAGUUGUGAAAGUUUGGGGCUCAACCGUAAGAGUGCAGUUGAAACUGGCAGUCUUGAGUACGGUAGAGGUAGGUGGAAUGCGCGGUGUAGCGGUGAAAUGCUUAGAUAUCGCGAAGAACUCCGAUUGCGAAGGCAGCGUACUGGACUGCAACUGACGCUGAGGCUCGAAAGUGUGGGUAUCAAACAGGAUUAGAUACCCUGGUAGUC
rnacentral:rRNA from 1 species